rnacentral:lncRNA from 1 species
CAGAAUAAUUUAACUCUAUCGCGCAAUUCGCUUCGUACAUUUGAUAUUUAAACAUUUUUUCCAAUAUGGUUCGUAUCGUGAGAAUAUUUACGGCGAGAUCUUGAGAAUCUGUUUUCUCUCGUUCGACGUUAGCGUAAAACGGAAGAUGGAGGUUCGUUAAAAAGAAAGUUCGCUUGUACAUUAUGAAUCACCGGUGACCUACGCGGCAUUUCUCUCGGAUAUCCUAACGUAAACAUAAUCGUGUAUUAAGAGAGAAAUUGCUUUGUAAUUGCAACGAGUCUUUGGUGAACCAGUUUCACUCGUUCCUCUGGAUAUCAAACGAUAAAAGACUCGUUAAGAACGUUCGCUUCCGGUAUACUUUACCAUAAAGUAGUUGCGGUAUAUCAGCUUAUAUCCGAACGAACGAACGAAUUUAGAAUUUUGCACGUGACACGAAUUUUUGCAAAAUCUGCAAUUUCUUACGCAAAGCGACCUUAUCUUGACAUACACCGCUGUACUUGUCGAUUUCCUCGUCGAAAGAUGAAUAUCGUUGAGAAUAAGACGUUGGAUCUUACUCGUAUUAGCCAUUCGUGGCCCAUGAAUAACUCGCACGACGCAAAUCGAAACAAACUCUCGCUACAACGCACCUACGUAUAAUGUAUUUACUCGUGUUGUGCGUGCAGGUUAAGGUUAGAUAAGAACCGGUGCUUCUAAUAUAAAUUUUCCACGGCGCCAGAUGAUUCAUCCAGCUGUGUGCGUGUUUAGCCGCCAGUCACGUGUAUAAUUUCAUCGAAGUACGGAGAAAUCAGUAGACGCGCAAGUGCGUUUCAUUCGUUAGCGGAAAAUUUUCUCGCCUUCUUAGUGUUACGUCGCGCAAGACAUCGGCACUCCAUCCCGCGCGGCUUGACAGUCUUCGAACCCUCGAUAGGCUCAAGGACUCACCAUAAACUUAAACUCCUAACUGCAUUGUUCGUACAUAUGGUUUAAGUCGAGCUGUUUACCCGAAAAGACUCUCUAAUCCUAAAAGUGUUUUCGGUUGGUUUUUAGAAAGGUCCUUGGGUUCUAUUGGGCGCUCUUAAGAAUUACGGAGAAGCAGGGCACACCUGUACCGAGCUUUCCUCCGUAAUCACAUCAGAACGAACUUUAGAGUUCCUACGGCUCUCACUACGGCUCCUACUUCUUCUAUUGUUUCUACGCCGUCAGGAGGGUCAACUGUACCGGUUCUCAUAACCAACGAACAGUCAAAGUCAACAUAUACACGGAUUCUCUCAUCUACGAAUGAUCCUUUUCUUCGUCACCUGUAUCUUAAUCAACGGCGUUACUAAUUUGUGCGAUUGUACAAAGUGUUGAAAAUAUACAUUUUUAUAGCCCUGUGAA